GAUGAACGCUGGCGGCGUGCCUAAUACAUGCAAGUCGAGCGAACGGACGAGAAGCUUGCUUCUCUGAUGUUAGCGGCGGACGGGUGAGUAACACGUGGAUAACCUACCUAUAAGACUGGGAUAACUUCGGGAAACCGGAGCUAAUACCGGCUGAUAUUUUGAACCGCAUGGUUCAAAAGUGAAAGACGGUCUUGCUGUCACUUAUAGAUGGAUCCGCGCUGCAUUAGCUAGUUGGUAAGGUAACGGCUUACCAAGGCAACGAUGCAUAGCCGACCUGAGAGGGUGAUCGGCCACACUGGAACUGAGACACGGUCCAGACUCCUACGGGAGGCAGCAGUAGGGAAUCUUGCGCAAUGGGCGCAAGCCUGACGGAGCAACGCCGCGUGAGUGAAGAAGGUCUUCGGAUCGUAAAACUCUGUUAUUAGGGAAGAACAUAUGUGUAAGUAACUGUGGACAUCUUGACGGUACCUAAUCAGAAAGCCACGGCUAACUUCGUG
rnacentral:rRNA from 1 species